rnacentral:rRNA from 1 species
CGACCGGCGCACGGGUGAGUAACGCGUAUGCAACUUACCUAUCAGAGGGGGAUAACCCGGCGAAAGUCGGACUAAUACCGCAUGAAGCAGGGGCCCCGCAUGGGGAUAUUUGCUAAAGAUUCAUCGCUGAUAGAUAGGCAUGCGUUCCAUUAGGCAGUUGGCGGGGUAACGGCCCACCAAACCGACGAUGGAUAGGGGUUCUGAGAGGAAGGUCCCCCACACUGGUACUGAGACACGGACCAGACUCCUACGGGAGGCAGCAG